GACUCUGCUGGGGACCGAACCUAGAGUCUCUGGUUUAGGGUUCAAGAAUUCGAGCUUAGAAUAAUUGUUGUAUUUGGAUUUGUUUAUUAUUUGAUUUUACAUGUUGACUUAAUGUGCAAAAUGAUGCUUUUACCGCUUGAUAUUAUUUGAAUUGUAUAUAUACUGUUACGAAACCAUUUUCUCUUUAUGUUCGGGGAUGUGCUCGCUGGGCGAGACCCCCUAUUCUGUUAUUCUCAUACCUUAAAAUAAGAAAGAGGCUCGGACAAGUUACAAAGCCGGACGAUCUCGCAGGCCCCCGGUACGUAGCCCCCUCCUCGACUUGAGUUGUCCGCUCGGGUACACAGACUAGAAUAAAUACCCAAGUGCUGAACUUAGUAUAACAAAACCACAUGCCGGAUCCCUAGUAGGAACGCUUAUCUGCAUCAUGCAUUUGACUUAGGGGACGCAACACAGGGGUUGGGUCCGUCUAGGACAUGUAUACCCAAAAUAAUAGACUAUCCUGAUGCAUCCUAAUGUGAUACAUGUUGCAUUUCUCCAAGGGUGAAAGUGUCAUUUGGUGGACCAAUUAUAGCUGAGGGUAAAUGGAAAAAGAAGAAGAGAAAAACAAUGAAAAAAAGAGGGUGAAGGGUGAAAAUAAAGCAAGUAGGAUUAGUUAUGUUUUUGUUAUAUUUUAUUAAAAAAGAGACAAAGAAUAUGUGAAAAAUUCAAAAAAAGAAUAUUUCACAAUUUUUUAUUAUUUCCUGAAAAUCAAUAAAAAAAGAAAAAAAAGAGAAAAUCCAAAAUAUACGAAAGAAAAUGUUUUCUUUAAAAAACUAGCUGUUUUUUUAAUUAUUUCUUGCCUGUAUCCAAUUUGCCCGAAGUACGCAAACCUGAUUCUCGUCUUUUAAGGCGUGAUACGUAGGCAACCCACAUAGGGUUCGGUUUUCCUAGUAAAUCUUAUAUUCUUGGCUAUACGGGGUCAUAGCCAGAUUUUGCACUUCUAGCUACUUUUAGCCACAUAGUUUAGUUUUAGAAUUCAGAAGUUGCUUGGUGGAAAUUGAGUGAAUUGAGUUAUGUCAAUGGACUCUACUAUUGAAAUUCUUAGAGUUCAAGUUGGAAUUCUCUUGUCAAACUUCUUUUAUGCUGGUGAAAGUUCUGUUGAAAUCAGUCUUUAUUUGUUGGGGCGUUGUUUUGUGAUUUUAAUUCAAUCAAUGAGUUGUUGGUGGGGCCAUGUUUGAAAGUAAAUCAUGCAUUGUACACCAUUUAUCUCUGUGCUAUGACUGCGGAUUUCUGAAGCUUGUUUGUUGAAAUUUGCCACUAUUCAUGGAAAAGUUUCUGGAGUAAAUUGAUAGCUAAUAUUCUCCUAGUUUGAACUUGUUACCACUGGUUUCUAAUAGCUGUUAUUGUUGUUGAGUUUAAUAGAGGAGAUUCAAUUGGAAUAAAGAUUGAGCAGCUUGAAUUGUGAUUUGCUUGAAUAUAUAGUAAGCAUACUCUGCCGAAAUUUUGUGUCCAUUGAGAUUUAUGCGCAAGUUUAGCAGUGAUAGUUUGAACUCUUGUUUUUACUUCUAAAAAGUUCUCUUUGUUGAAUUGAAUGCUCUUGUUACAUAAACUAUUGCCCAGUUGGUUAGAACGUGCUGACAGAAGUUGUAUGUUUGCUGGAAAAUAAUUUGCUGCUUGUUUUCUGUUGCUGUAAAGGAAUUCAUACUUGCUGUUCACAGCCCUGCAUUGUUCAUUUUUCGCUCAACAAUGAAAAUUUCUGCUUGUUGCUGUAAAGUAUUUCAUACUUGCUGUUCACAGCCCUGCAUUGUUCAACAAUGAAGAUUUUCACAUUUCUUUAAUUGAUUGUUGUUACAAUAGUUUUUCUUAUAAGUUGAGGGAAUUUUGCAAAGGUUUUAGCUUCAGUUAGCUCAACUGCGUUGCUUCAGUUUAUAUGCCAACAAUAUACUAUUGACAUUCAAGUUUUGAGCUAAAUUUAAUGCUCAAGGUGUUGCUGAAGGUUGAGUUUUGAGAAGCAAUUGAAUAGCGAACCUGCCAGCUUAUUUGAAUUCUAGAGUUUUGCAUUUAAAUGAAAGUUGUUGAUGUAAUACAAGUUUCCUAAGCAUUAUUUGUAUUUUUCUGCAACAUUUUGUAAACCUGAAACUGGGUGUGGACAUUAGAACUUGUUUAAGAAUUUUGAACUCAAAUAAGAGUGUUUUGGACUGUUAUUGAAGGUUGUUGAAACAACCUUGGAAUUUUUUCACUUUUUGCACUAGUUGUGUAGUGAGUGCAAGUUGAUUUUUCUGCACAUUUGAGUUUAGUUGAUUACAAAUGUUUCGGUUCUGUUAAGAGGGAAUUACAAACUGAAAAAUAUUGCUUAAAGU
rnacentral:lncRNA from 1 species